UUGGAAAUAGUCAUUUUUGAAAAGAAUAUAAAAAUUCAGAAAUUUGUUAAGUGUUUAAAAUUGAGUUUUUGGUCAACUUCAAACGACCAUAGCUUCUAGAUCAGAAUGAAUUAGUUGUGUUUCCAGAUGUUGUAGGAAAGAUCUUGGAAUAAUCUUUCAUACUUUGCCGAGUUUGCUCGAUUCCGAGUUUGUCUAAAUGAGAUAUUCCCAUUGGAAGUUGGGUUGUUCAAAUAAGGAAAUGUCGAAUCCGGAUUUUAGAGGGGCAUUAAGGUCUUUUCCUUACCCAAUUACUUUAUUUUGUUUUUGGAUAAUUAAUUGUGUCCAAAUUCAUCUUAGUCAAUUUACGCUUUUGAAAAAAGAGUUAGGAUUUUGAGAGAAUAGAAAAGAAGAGGAGAAAAGAGGAGAAAAUGCAAGAAUCGUCAAGAUCAUUCAAGUUUGAUCGUGAAUUUCAUCAAGGGGGUGAUCCCUGCGAGGGUGAGUGAUAUCACAUAGCAUUGGGUUAGCUCAAUCACGCGUCAAACAUGUUUCGUUCAGCGUAUUUUCAUCCUAAAAAAUUGAGAAUUUGAUUUUGUUGAUAGUUGUUCUUGAAUUGAUUUCAUUUUUGAAUAUGCGUUGAGAUUAAGGAGUUUCUUGAUGUUAAAGUGUCGUUUCCUUGAGUUCUCAGAGUAAGAUCCUUGUGUAUAUGAUUUGGGUACAUGAAUCUAAUGUGAAUUUGAGAAAAAGAAUUGGGUUAAAUCGAUUUAAGAUCAGAAAAUGAGACCAAAAGUUUGUCAGUUUUUGCCUGAAGGAAUAGGUGGCACGACGUGCCCCCAUAGUGCCAGGAAGGAUGGGGCGGCGCGUCAACAGUGCACCAUUUAGAGCCUCAGUAAGUUGGGGCUGGCGCGGCAUGCCUGGGAUGAAGCAAGUCUCCACCUCGAAGAUCUGACGCAAACAUUUUGAAGUCUCCAUCUCAAAAGACGCAGGUAAUGAGGAUCGCAUCCAGCAUAACGUUGAUCCAAUUGAGCACUCCAGAGUCAGUGAUGUAGGUAACGAGGAUCGACAACCAGCGCACUGUUGAUCCAGUUGAGCGAUCUAGAGUCAGUGGUGAGCCUCUUUUGCGUUCCUGAGGGCUCUUUUUAUUUGUUUUCCAGUUUAAUUCAUUAGGGUGUUGUGGGGUGUGUCCCAACAUCUAUCUCAGUUGUUUUUAGAGGUAUCAUAGACAGUUCGCAGUUCGGUUGUCUUUAGAUUAUUAUUUCAGAUAUUAUUUAAUGACUUGAGUUGUCAUUUGAGCUAAGUACUUAUAUAACUUUGAACUAUAUUUCUUAUAUUUAAGUCUUUCGC